rnacentral:ncRNA from 1 species
AACCACUGGAAGUGCCUUAUUUUUAGGCUGAGAUUAAAGAUUAACUUUAAAAUUCCUUGAACCUGAUCUAGAUGAUACUAGCGUAGGAAAGUGGCGUAAC